rnacentral:rRNA from 1 species
UUAAGUUAGAAAGGGCGCACGGUGGAUGCCUUGACACUAGGAGUCGAUGAAGGACGGGACUAACGCCGAUAUGCUUCGGGGAGCUGUAAGUAAGCUUUGAUCCGAAGAUUUCCGAAUGGGGAAACCCACUAUACGUAAUGGUAUGGUAUCCUUACCUGAAUACAUAGGGUAUGGAAGACAGACCCAGGGAACUGAAACAUCUAAGUACCUGGAGGAAGAGAAAGCAAAUGCGAUUUCCUGAGUAGCGGCGAGCGAAACGGAAUCUAGCCCAAACCAAGAGGCUUGCCUCUUGGGGUUGUAGGACAUUCUAUACGGAGUUACAAAGGAACGAGGUAGACGAAGCAGUCUGGAAAGGCUCGUCACAGAGGGUAACAACCCCGUAGUCGAAACUUCGUUCUCUCUUGAAUGUAUCCUGAGUACGGCGGAACACGUGAAAUUCCGUCGGAAUCUGGGAGGACCAUCUCCCAAGGCUAAAUACUCCCUAGUGAUCGAUAGUGAACCAGUACCGUGAGGGAAAGGUGAAAAGCACCCCGGAAGGGGAGUGAAAGAGAUCCUGAAACCGUGUGCCUACAAAUAGUCAGAGCCCGUUAAUGGGUGAUGGCGUGCCUUUUGUAGAAUGAACCGGCGAGUUACGAUCCCGUGCGAGGUUAAGUUGAAGAGACGGAGCCGCAGCGAAAGCGAGUCUGAAUAGGGCGUUUAGUACGUGGUCGUAGACCCGAAACCAGGUGAUCUACCCAUGUCCAGGGUGAAGUUCAGGUAACACUGAAUGGAGGCCCGAACCCACGCACGUUGAAAAGUGCGGGGAUGAGGUGUGGGUAGCGGAGAAAUUCCAAUCGAACCUGGAGAUAGCUGGUUCUCCCCGAAAUAGCUUUAGGGCUAGCCUUAAGUGUAAGAGUCUUGGAGGUAGAGCACUGAUUGAACUAGGGGUCCUCAUCGGAUUACCGAAUUCAGUCAAACUCCGAAUGCCAAUGACUUAUCCUUAGGAGUCAGACUGCGAGUGAUAAGAUCCGUAGUCAAGAGGGAAACAGCCCAGAUCGCCAGCUAAGGUCCCAAAGUGUGUAUUAAGUGGAAAAGGAUGUGGAGUUGCUUAGACAACUAGGAUGUUGGCUUAGAAGCAGCCACCAUUUAAAGAGUGCGUAAUAGCUCACUAGUCGAGUGACUCUGCGCCGAAAAUGUACCGGGGCUAAAUACACCACCGAAGCUGCGAAUUGAUACCAAUGGUAUCAGUGGUAGGGGAGCGUUCUAAGUGCAGUGAAGUCAGACCGUAAGGACUGGUGGAGCGCUUAGAAGUGAGAAUGCCGGUAUGAGUAGCGAAAGACGGGUGAGAAUCCCGUCCACCGAAUGCCUAAGGUUUCCUGAGGAAGGCUCGUCCGCUCAGGGUUAGUCAGGACCUAAGCCGAGGCCGACAGGCGUAGGCGAUGGACAACAGGUUGAUAUUCCUGUACCACCUCUUUAUCGUUUGAGCAAUGGAGGGACGCAGAAGGAUAGAAGAAGCGUGCGAUUGGUUGUGCACGUCCAAGCAGUUAGGCUGAUAAGUAGGCAAAUCCGCUUAUCGUGAAGGCUGAGCUGUGAUGGGGAAGCUCCUUAUGGAGCGAAGUCUUUGAUUCCCCGCUGCCAAGAAAAGCUUCUAGCGAGAUAAAAGGUGCCUGUACCGCAAACCGACACAGGUAGGCGAGGAGAGAAUCCUAAGGUGUGCGAGAGAACUCUGGUUAAGGAACUCGGCAAAAUGACCCCGUAACUUCGGGAGAAGGGGUGCUUUCUUAACGGAAAGCCGCAGUGAAUAGGCCCAAGCGACUGUUUAGCAAAAACACAGGUCUCUGCGAAGCCGUAAGGCGAAGUAUAGGGGCUGACACCUGCCCGGUGCUGGAAGGUUAAGGAGAGGGGUUAGCGUAAGCGAAGCUCUGAACUGAAGCCCCAGUAAACGGCGGCCGUAACUAUAACGGUCCUAAGGUAGCGAAAUUCCUUGUCGGGUAAGUUCCGACCCGCACGAAAGG